rnacentral:tRNA from 1 species
CCAAAAUCAAGAGCAAUCCUGAGGUCGUGCGUUCGAUCCGCAAUCUUCUUUUUUCA